rnacentral:misc_RNA from 1 species
AACGAGCUCUGGUACUGUG